AAGUCGUAACAAGGUCUCCGUAGGUGAACCUGCGGAGGGAUCAUUAACUUGUAUGAUUGACUGACAGCUCGUCUGUCAAUCUAUCAAACCAAACAAAUCAAACCGUGAACUCGAGUGCUUCGGCGCUCAUUUCCUGCCCCGACAUUGAACGGCGAAACGGAGCAUUCAAUUGCUGACCAGUGAUGUCCUACCACUUACAAGGGUGCAUGCUCGCAAAAGUAUGCGCCUGGUGACUUCACCUCGUUUAGUACAUUCGGACCAUUUUUUUCAAUUCAAAACCUAUUUCACCUGCUCGUACACAUAUUUGACUGACAAGCGAAAGGUGUUGUUUACGCAACGCCUUGAACCUUCGAACUAUUCGAAAUCUAAGCACAACUCUUAGCAACGGAUAUCUUGGUUCUC
rnacentral:misc_RNA from 1 species